AUUGAACGCUGGCGGCAUGCUUUACACAUGCAAGUCGAACGGCAGCGCGGGCUUCGGCCUGGCGGCGAGUGGCGAACGGGUGAGUAAUACAUCGGAACGUGCCCAGUAGUGGGGGAUAGCUCGGCGAAAGCCGGAUUAAUACCGCAUACGACCUGAGGGUGAAAGCGGGGGAUCUUCGGACCUCGCGCUAUUGGAGCGGCCGAUGGCAGAUUAGCUAGUUGGUGGGGUAAAGGCCUACCAAGGCGACGAUCUGUAGCUGGUCUGAGAGGACGACCAGCCACACUGGGACUGAGACACGGCCCAGACUCCUACGGGAGGCAGCAGUGGGGAAUUUUGGACAAUGGGCGAAAGCCUGGUCCAGCAAUGGCGCGUGUGUGAUGAAGGCCUUCGGGUUGUAAAGCACUUUUGGCGGGAACGAAAAGGACUGUGCCAAUACCACGGUUCGAUGACGGUACCCGCAGAAUAAGCACCGGCUAACUACGUG
rnacentral:rRNA from 1 species